rnacentral:misc_RNA from 1 species
GAAAUGCGAUAAGUAGUGUGAAUUGCAGAAUUCAGUGAAUCAUCGAAUCUUUGAAUGUAUAUUGCGCCCUUUGGUAUUCCUUAGGGCAUGCCUGUUCGAGCGUCAUCUAAACCUUCAAGCACUGCUUGGUGUUGGGUGCCUGUCCUGCCCCCGCGCGUGGACUCACCUUAAAUCUAUUGGCGGCCCUUACGUCGGCUUCGAGCGCAGCAGAAACGCGAACUCGACGCCUGUUGGAGCGGCUCCCAGAAGCUACAUUUACCAUUUUGACCUCGGAUCAGGUAGGGAUACCCGCUGAACUUAA